AUGUGUGUGUGUGUAUAUAUAUAUAAAUGUGUAUAUAUAUAUAUAUAUAUAUAUAUAUACACACACACGGUAUUU
rnacentral:miRNA from 1 species